CCACUUCAUGCGUUGAGCAACAAAGUGGUACUGAUGGAGACGACAUGUGGAGAAGAUGGACCAGCCUGUGAGGAAAACAGUCCAUUUGUGUUACAGAUUGACCGUUGCACCUCCGCACUAUAACAGAGGGUAAAUGUUGAACUAGAAACACAGUCAACCGCGUCAUGGAGGCAUUUGUGCCAGUGAAACUAAAUUACAGAAGUUUUCCUGCUGGACACAAGACGUCUCCUACUUCACUG